AUGGCGUCGGCGGUGCUCUCGUACAUUCAAAGCCUGUGGCCGCUCUCGGCUCUCCUGAAGGAGGACGACCUGGGCGCCUCCGCGCGGCUGGUGCGGACCCUCUCCGUGCCCGAGGAGACGAAGCAGUUCGUGUUCGCGAUCCGGGAGCCCGAGACGCAGGGCUUGCUCUACAUCCUCGCGGCGCAGAACCUCUCCGAGCAGUCCGCUUUGGACGCCGGACAUCUGAUCAGGGCGGUGCGGCCCCGGGCCGUGAUCACCCAGGUCGCGCACACAGAGGUCGAGGACGUUUUGAUCGAGGAGCAGUGCCUGGCUGAAGGCGGAGCGGGCGGCGUGCCGGCGUCGCCACUACAGGUGAUUAAGCGUUGCAUCACCGAGAAGAAGAGCAAAGAUCACUAUGUGAAAUCCGCCGCUUGCCAGGUCCUCCGGGAGAUUUUUGGGGUUGGAUUCUAUGGCCACCUAUUGGCUGCCAAGAGAGCUGCGGAGGAGACAGAGUCGCAUUUUCUCUUGCUCGGCUCUCCGUAUGAGAAGAAUUGCAAUGCGGGUGGAUCGAGCAACGGAAAUAGUACGGACGAUAAUCCGGCUCCGCAAUUGCAGACUAGCUGCACUCUUCCUCAGAGUGCCAUGGAUGAUAAAUCUGGUCUCCAGUUACAGAGUAACUGCUUGCUCCCUAAGAGUGCCACAUCUGCAGUAAGCUCCCAUGUCAGGAAGAUAUGCCUUGUGGAUGAUUAUGGAGGGCAGCUCAUGAAGUCGCUAGCUCCAACUGCUAACUUGUUGUUGUCCCAAGCUAUCUCUUCCUAUGCUGUUGCGGAGUGCAGACUGUCAGAAUGUAAGCCGGCCGACAGAUACGAGCCUCCACUUUUUGCGCAGACCGUCUACCCUCUGCUCUCUGACCUUUAUGAGAUAUUUGUUCAAAUUCCGUCAAUUGGGAAGGCUAUGGCUUCUGCACAGAUGUUGCUCACUCAAGUUCACAAGGGGAAGCCAGUUUGCAGUGAAAUGUUAUCUGAUGUCUAUGUAUUUGGAAUUGCAAUAGAGGCUCUCAGAAUAUGUUUAAACAAUGCAGGAAGACGCCGCAUUAAUACUAGGGAUAAUCAUAGUUUGGAGAAAUUGGAUUUUGCAGAGCUCCCUUCUGAGGAGAAGUGCCACAUUCUUCUUGUUCAAGCUCUCAGAAGUCAACUAAGGGAGUUCGGUUCUGUGGUGGCUGUAGUUGAUGCCAGCUGCUUAGCUGGAAUAAGGAGACACUGGAACACUCCUGUUCCUUCGGAGAUCACACAAUUAGCUGGCAGUUGCUUCAAUCAUUAUGGCAACAAAAAUGAGAGCGAAAAUGAGAGUGAUAACAAUGAGGUGCCAUCGGACAGCACUGAUAAAAAGAGCUGGAUAGCUGAGAAACCUGUGGUCGCAGUUGGUGCGGGAGGAACAGCAAUUCUUGGUUUUUCAUCUUUGUCGAAAACCAUCCAGGCAUCUGCCAUUCUUAAGUUGGCUCCUUAUAAAACUCCAGUGAUCUUAAAGUAUGGCUUAAUGCAGCUGCAAAGGCAUGCCGGCGUUGUAUUAAGCAAGCUCCUCUCUCAUGGGGUUGUUAGUGCUGGUUCGAAGUCAUCUGUUUUACAGUUCACAGCUUCAGCAGAGAAGAUUCGGGCGGUGACACACACCGUAAUAUCAUCUGUAGAGAGAACUAGCUUGUUGGCGAUGCGGACAUCGUUCUACGAAAUAAUGCAAAAGAGGCAGAAGCACAACCGACCUUUCCGAAUAGCUCCUUGGGCAACAUUUAGUUUUAGCUUGGUUGCAUGUGCUGGCCUCCUGAAGCAUGGAGAUGGGAUUGAGUGUGCUGCUGAGGCCGCACCUUCUGUUCCCAUGAUUGCCUCCCUGGGCCGUGGUCUUGAGAGCUUGCGUGUCACUUCAGAGGAAACGAGGCAAACAAGGAGCCAAAAUGUGAAGGAAGCUUUGCUAACAUUGUUGCGCAGCUUAAAGAAAUCAGAAAAGUAA
rnacentral:rRNA from 1 species